rnacentral:lncRNA from 1 species
UGCAUCGAUCUAGGAUUUAUUUGGGGUGGCAUUGCGUGCAUGCGUCCGCAGGCGAAUUCGGCGAAGUGGGAGCCGCCGCACGGCAGGUUCAGGCACUACUACGGUGCUUGGUCGGAGUACGUCAAGGUCGGAGCCGUGCUCCGGCACUGUGCCUACGAAGUGAUGGCGCUCUACGGCUGUUUGCGUUCGGAGAUACAGGUGAUGUUCGAAUCCUCGUGCUCGCUCGCCUUCCUUCUUCCCUCUGUAAAGAAGCCGAUUCUACCUACUUGUGUCGUAUUGGUUGCAGGCACCGAUCGAGCUUCGAGUCACAUUCCAAACAGAGAUCCUUGAGGCAACAGUCGAAGCAGCAGAGCUGCUCCGCGGCUUGGCGAAUGAUCUCGGCAACAUGAAGCAUACCGUUCGAGUGAGCCAACUCAUGCGUGUUCGUGUCUCCACCGAUCGUCUUCAGCGAUCCGUGGACCUGCACUCUUACCUCCUCAACUCACAUGGUUUCCCUCGCAAGCCGACCGGUAAAGAUUGUUCUCAUGGAUCUGGAUCUGAUCCAUCCAGCAAACUACACCGCGAGGCUGAACGCAGUCCAGCGACUGCACAACCGCAGACCCGGACUUAUCAUGAGACCAUGAAAAAGCAGCAGAGGAGGCUGUACUCGUGGCCGUCGAGGGAGGUGGAUGAGCUGGAAGAAGAAGACGGAGGAGGUGACAGCGCCGAGCUGAUCACCAGGAUGCGUGCGUUGGAGAGCACUGCAGCUCUCUCGCUUGCCACCUUCGCCUUGCUGCUCAUCGAGUUCGUCGCUCGCCUCGAUCACCUGGUCGAUGCAGUCGAGCAACUCGCUGCAACUGCAAAGUUCAAGCAACAGGCGGGCUUAGAACGUACAAAAUAACAUUAAAAGAAAAAAGGAAAAGGCUAUGAUCAGUAAGCAAAAUCCAACAUCUUGCUGUUGACCAUAAGCGGAUGCAACUUAUUCUUAUGCAUCGAGAUCGUUGAUCCAAAACAAUUAAAAGUCCAAACCAAUGAUAAUACACCUAAUAAAUGCUAUAAACCACCUCAUUUGACUUUUAUCAGACUGGAAUUUGGGAUACAUUCAUGCAUGGCAUGGGUUACAAAGUUCGGAUUUGGACUACAGAGGACCCUCUGCUCCUACCCGUUCCUGUCGGAACCGUCUCACGGCGCUCCGGUGCUGGGUCCCCUUGUGGGACCAUAUCUGCGUGCUCUGAUCACAGGUCAGGUAGUUUGUCGUAACGGGUCGCCUGGAGGGCAUUGCUCCAUGUUUCGUACAUGCGAUCGCAGUAGCAGAGAUCAAAGACAAAUCUCGGGCGCGGGCGCGGCGAUCUCCCCAACGAAGAAGGGCUCUGCUCGAAUGUGGUGGUAAUUUUGGGAGGUGGAAGCCAUGGCGCAGGUGGUGGCGACGCGAUCCAUCCAAGCUCUCUCGCCUUUCGCCAUCGGGCUCCGGAUCCGGGGACGCGAGGAGCCAUCUCCACGAGCUCAGGCCUUCGACGCUACCCCCGAGGUUCUUCCCCCAGGAAAAGUAGCAGAGGAUCGAGAUAGGCAGCUGUUGCCGUGGCGAGGCCGCUCGCUCGUUCCGACGCCGGUGUUCUUCCUGUCUUCCCGGAUGACAUAUUAAAGGUGUUCACCUAUCGGAUUCCAACCUCUCAACUGUCUUUUCUGUUUUUUCCUCUUUCCCUUUACCUUUUAUUUCAUGUCGAAGAUUGCUCGUCUCCAGUGCAUUAUGUGCUUGCCAUUUCUUUCAUUUCAGUGGGCUUUUAAUCAUUAUAAUAUUGUUAAAGAUUAUUACAAAUUGAAGUCGAUUAAUUGGUUGCAGGAAGAAGGGUAUUCAGCAAUUUGGGGAAGUUCCCAAGGGAUUGUGGUCUAAGCCGAAUGUGGUGCGGCAGACUAAGAUAGUCUGCACCAUCAUCGGCCCAUCGACCAACACAAGGGAGAUGAUAUGGAAGCUAGCUGAGGCUGGCAUGAAUGUUGCUCGGUUGAACAUGUCGCAUGGAGACCAUGCAUCUCAUCAAAAGUCAUCGAUCUCAUGCUUGACACCAAGGCAGGUUUCUUCCGACUGCUAUUUCAUUCCUCUGGCUUCUUUUGGAUCUCGGUGACAUCAUUUUGUAUCCCACGAAUGCAUACUGAGUUUAUGUUUACUAGAAUGCUGCAGUGCGUAUACUUCUUUUUCUUUAUGUUGUAUGAUGCAAGCACAAACGUCGUAGUAUCUUUAAAGGCUUCGUAAUUUGAGAGUCAAUAUACUGGACAGUUAUUUUACCUGAUCUUGAUGACAAAUAUCGGACACUGUUGCCAACAAUCUUGCAAAUGUUCACUAGUUCCUUCGUCAUGCAUAUCCCUUAAGCCGGUUUCUUAAUAUGAUUUUCUUAUCUCUGCAUGUUCUGUCUUAGGGCCCUGAGGUUAGGAGUGGUGACUCACCACAGCUGAUUACCUUAACAAGUAGACGAGACUUCACUUUUGAGAUAAAAGGAGGAGUUGGCUCAGAUACUUGUGUUAGUGUCAGCUAUGAUGACUUCGUUAAUGAUGUAGAAGUUGGUGGCAUGCUUCUUGUAGAUGGCAAGUAAAAAUGUCUGGUCUGAUUCAAAUGAUCUUUUGAGAUAUAGUUACAUGACAUUUAUUUUCACAAACGUUGGUAGCUGGUACUGUCCAAUAAGUUUCCUUUAUGAUAUAUUUCAUUUCCCAUCUCUUUAUUUUUCACAAUUCAUGUCACAUCUCUUAUACAUCACUAAUGAAGUCUUUGAAAAUAUAAAAGGGACUUGAUCCUUUCUGAUAUAAGCAACAAAUGUUAGUUCUGCACUGUUUGCAUACAUGUAAUAUACGGAAUAUAGUUGGCUCAAUAACUAUUUGACACGGUAUGGAGUUUGAGGUCAAUAUUUAAUACUAUGAUGACAUAAAAACUUUUGCAGUGUUCAGAAUAAUUGGCAUGAAUGAAGCAUGUGCCUCUAAUUAGAAGUAACGGAUUGAGGAUUCCAUAUAGACAAACACAAUGUUUGUAUAUGAGUUGUGAUUAAAUGAUUUGCUUACGUCCAUUCUUUAACCUCGUUUCUGUAACCAGAAACAAAGCACAAAAAAUGGUAAUGUUUUUGAUAUCUAAUGCUGGACAAGUAGCAAACAGCCUUUCACUUUUCAUCUUGAUGUAUGUUUAUCGCUGGGCAAUUAGGAAACUGAUCUUGUUUAUGCUACAGGAGGAAUGAUGUCUCUAUUGAUUAUGUCAAAAACUGAGGAUUCUGUCACGUGUGAAGUCGUUGAUGGGAUAGUCCAGGAGGCAUCUGAUUGUUAGAGGAAAGAGUGCAACCUUGCCAUCCAUCACAGGUAAGUUAGAGAAAUUAUGUUUGGUUUUGUGCUUCUAAUUAAGUCCUUUGUCUAAUAGAUAUUUGAACUUUGUAUUUCUGGUAUAAUAAUUUUUUUUUAUUCCUUGCAGAAAAAGAUUGGGACGAUAUCAAAUUUGGAGUUGAAAACAAUGUGGACUUUUAUGCAGUUUCCUUUGUCAAAGAUGCAAAAGUUGUCCAUGAAUUGAAGGAUUAUCUCAAAACCAGAUGCUCGGUCCUAGUUUUGGUUGAAAUCUCUCUUUAAGUGCCUCAAAAGAUCAGAACUUUCCUUGUUGGCACUGAAUCUUUUGAUUCAUUUGUCAAGUUGUAAUGCAGACAUACAUGUUAUUGUCAAAAUUGGAAGCGCGGAUUCGAUUCCUAAUCUGCAUUCCAUGGUCACGCAUCUGAUGGGGUAAGCAUCUGAAUGUUGUAUAUUAAACAUGGAUGCUGCUAAGCUUACAAGUGGUUUGUACAUAUGGGUAUCUUAAGAUAAGGCAUAUUGGUAUAAAUUAAUGUAUUUGAUGUGAUGUAGUGCUUCACCGCUGAUCAAGCUUAACUACUAUGAUACGAGUUACACAGUCACAUGUUGUUGAUUCUUGUGUAAACCUUCAUUAGAACUUAAUGCUUACAGUCUUUAAUAUUGGUAUGUCCGAAAAGAAAAAUGUUUUGUGUUUGACGGGGAGAACAUUUUAUUUUAACAGACAUUGUGCAAGAAUGAAUAUUUGUCGAGAGCCAUUAUUUGCAUAAAGAGAUAAAUGGAAAACAUAUGAAGCAGAUGUAAAGAUAAAUUAAUUUGUCAAUGUUUCUUUUGGCGUAGUUCACUUGUAUAUUUUGUCUAGGACUUGCACUUGUAAAAUAUGGAAAAAAAACACCAUAUGAUGCCACUUUGGAGCAUCGAAAAAUCCUUAAUGAGUUAUGCCUUUAUUUAUUCUGAAGGCACACCCACAUUGUUGCCCAAGUUAUAGAAACAUAAGGUAUAAUACCAGUCUCAAUUUAGCAGUGUUAAGAACUUGGAAAGAAAAGGGGUUAAGUGGAUGUCACUCUUGUCCUUUCUGUUUAUUUUUCUGUUUGUGAAGCCUCACUAUACAUAAUAGAUCGGUAUUCCUGUUUACUUUCUCUAGCUAGUUGAUUGCAAGUUUCUUUUAGUCAGAUCUCUUAAAUUACUUGGUGCUUUUGUUGAGGCGAUCCCCUUUUGAGCUUGAUUCUCUUUCAACAUAAUAUUUUCUUCUGUAACAUAUGCUGACUUUUCUAUUUGCUGGUAACCUUGAUCUUCGAUUAUGUAAUUUCUUCUGUGUUUUCUGUAGGCAAUGGUUGCUAGAGGGGAUCUUGGAGCUUAACUCCCUAUCGAUGAAGUUCCACUGCUGCAGGUACCUAUGGCGAUCAACAGCCACGAUAUAAAGGCUUGUUUUAAUGUUAUAUUUUGUGUAAAGCUCUAACGCCCAAGGGCAUAUGUCCAGUGAGUAAUUAUGUGCUGUAUUAUUCAAUGUCUUACCUCGUGUUCCAAAUGUGCAGGAGGAAAUUAUUAGAAUAUGCAGGAGCAUGUGAAAGCUGUUAUUGUAGCAACAAAUAUGCUGAAAGCAUGAUUGUUCAUCCGACGCCAUCCCGUGCAGACGUCUUGGAUAUUGCUAUUGCGGUUCGUGAGGGUUCAAAUCCAAUAAUGCUCUCUGGGGAAACUGCUCAUGGAAAGUAUGAAUUCCUCCCCCACUCCUCAAUAUUCUUCAACUGUAGGAAUGUGAUUCAAGUCCUGCCUUUGCAUUUGUCCUUCUUUUGUUGCUCUACCUUUUAGCAUUUAUUCUUCCUUUUGUUAGUGCGAUUAUAUAAUCCCACAUCUACUUAUUAGAUUAUACACAAACUAGUUAUGUCCUAAUUGGUAAAUCAACAGCAACAUCCUCCAUUAUAAUGCAGAUAGAUACUUACUGAAAGUUGUUAAAGUCACACGCACUGUAGCUCUGAGGACUGAAGCAACUAUAAAUGGAGGAGAUCAGCCAGCUAAUCUUCGUCAGGCAAUCAAGGUGACAAGCAUAACAUAUAUUUAUCAUAUUCCUCCCAUCCCAAGCUUGCCAAAUAAUGUAACAAUGGCAAGCAAUUGAUACCUGUAUAUUUUCUGCCAUUUAGAAAUUUUGGUGGCAGUAAUACUAGAUUUCGAGGGAAUCCUGUAUGCACAUUUUUAUAGAGCAACCUGUUCUGCAGAAUCAUAUGAGUGAGAUGUUUGGUGUUUGCCCGAUAUAUAUGAAAUUUUCGGAUGACGCUGAAAGGACAUAUGCUGCCGAGGCCUUGUCGUCUUACUUGUAGGUAACCACACUCGACUUUCUUUUCCUUAUUUUCUUCUUCUAUUUAUUUGUCCAUGAAUUGAUACGGUAGAAUCCUCGAUUGAUUACUGUAUAUUCUGCUUUGUAAUUGAAUUAAUACAUGGUCUUUCGCUCGACGAUAUGAUCCAGAAACCAGGCAUGGUCAAAACGAUGGUGAGCAAGUUGCUCUGGUUCAGAGUGGGCAGCACAUCUGAUGUUCAGCAAGCCGGACCGAGUAAAGCCCACUCACGAGAGAUUGGGCCGGAUCUGGUCAAACCUAACCCGUUCAUUUCAGUUUCGGAUCACCAUCCUUGUCUCCAACCGUGGGCAACAAACACAAAGGCAUCGAUGGACCGGUUACAAUCAUAGCCGUCCUUAUUGUCAUCAUCAGCAGCAUCUCGGAACUCGACUCCUCCUCGUCGCAUAUAAGUCAUUCAAGAAUUGAAUCAAGCUUCUGUCUCUCUCUCUCUCUCGGCCAAGCGCGCCCAGAGAGAGACGGCAGCGAGAUACAGAGGAAAGGGGCGGGAGGGGGAGGAAUCCAAGAAACCCUCGCCACCGGUACCGCGUCUCUCUCUCUCUCUCCUUUCCUAUCUUUUUCUCGCUUCAAUUUGUUUCUCUUUUUUUUCGACCGAUCUCUUGUUCCCACCUGUUAUCUUACUACUCCGAUCGAUCCAUGUUUCCGUGGGGCUUUCGACGGAUCGGGAGUCAGGACCAGGGGGUGACGCUUGGCGAUGGCUUCCAAGCGGAUUCUCGAGGAGCUCAAGGAUCUCCAGAAGGGCCUCCAUACGUCUUGCAGCGCAGGUAUCUCGGAUUCCGAUGCUUCCCCUCCACUAUCCUUUUACUGCUUCUUUUUCCCACAUAUUAAUUAAUAUGUAGAUUUUGGUCUUACUGAUAUUGAUGCUUCUCUCGUAGAUGUUUAAUUAUUAGCGUCGUGUUGAUCUUCUGACUCGAAUUCCUCAUAUCCUCCUUGCGUCUACCUUCUAUUUUGAUUUAGAUGGAGAUUGCUUGGACGCAGGGCUGUACCACUCUGUGAUAGAAUUUCUUUACCUCCAUAGAUAAUUGGGUAUCGAUUCAGGAUAAGAUGAUAUAAAACGAUUGCACUUCUUUUAAUGACAAUUUCAUCUCAAAAACUGUCAUCUAGGUAUUUGAUCUACUUGCACAUACAAGAAGGUUAUCAUAGAGUGAGGUUGAACGGCAUUGUUGGGGCCCACGGGUAGUUGUUGUGGAUAAGGAGGUAAAACGAUAAAAGGAUCGUUCGGCAUUUAUAUCGACGUUGACGCAAAUGUAGAGCAACGAAAGGGUCGCUCGACAUUUGCAUCAGUGUCGAUGCAAAUGUAAAACAAUGUUACCCUUCAUCGUAUUGUUAUCGACGUCGACACAAAUGCAGAGCGAUGAAAGAAUCGCUCGACAUUUGCAUCAGCAUGGACACAAAUGCAGAGCAGCAUUGCCCGUUCCUGUAUCAUUGUUGGCGUUGACGUCAAUGCAAAGCGUCAGCAUCUGCAUCAUCAUCUCCCUUUGUCUCAAUCUCUCAUCAUUGCUCUCUUGUGGUCUCUAACGGUGUCAUCGUUUGUCAUCACUGAAAACGUAACUAGGAUGUUGAAAUUACUUUUUUUACUUAUCGUUUUCGUGCUCCCGUCGGUAAAACCAAUGAUAUUAGGGUAAAUGAAGUCAGAUAUUUUACUUUCAUAACUAUAGAGAUUCUUAUGUAAAUUUUUUAGAUCUAGGGACCGAGACCUAAAAAAAAAAUUUUAGGUGUAAGGAUUUGGAUACUAAAGAGAUAAUUAGCCCUCUUUCGUUUGGUUUGACGGGUGAAGAGGAGGUGGUAACAAGCACUUAAUAAUUUUAGACUAUGCGAUUCCUUUCCUGUCACACAAGGACAAAUAAGAAAAAGAAAAUAUUUAGAUAACCUGUAUGUUCACCUUGCUCCAAAGUCUCUCUAUUUGCGGAGAGAAGGAAUGGAGAGAAGUGGACUCUCCGAAUUCUCUCCUCGUUUCUCCAACCUAUUUUACUUGUCGCAGAUUGCAGUAUGCAGACUGUAGUAUUCCAAGUAGUGGCCACAGUAAUCCAACAGUCAAGGUAUGCAGAAGCAUAUGGGGGCCAGAUAAUGUGGUUCCAUUAAUAUUUAAGAUGAUCCUCAUUUGAGAACAAAUAAAGAAAAAUACAAUCAAGUCUAAGUUGCUAAUAAGUAUAUACAUAGUCGGACCAACUAGAAAAGUUUAGGAUGUCAAUGAUGUACAUUUAAGAACUUAAUUGAGUGGUGUGUCACAAGAAAUGGGUGAACGUUAAGUCAUGAAUGGCAUAUUAUCGUAGAACACAUAAUAGUACUAAAGUAAUACCGAUAGUUGAAAAGUACACUAGUGCUAAUACAAAUUGCAAUGCCUAUCCAAACUAUAUGUCGACAACAGGUUCACGUAUAAGAACCUUAUGCUAGGUUGCGAUAUGGCUGCACAUGUAUGCUUGUGCAUACAAGCAUAUACAACUGAGUAUAUUGCAUUUUAGAACAUUGAUAGUUUGUUAUGAUGGUCUGAACUGUUAAAAUCGGCUUAAAUGAAUGGUUUCCAAAGGGGAUGGCAAGAUGCAGGUUGGGCCCCGGUUGUAUGCAAUUGCUCCAGAUCCUAAACAAUCAACCUCCGGCGCUCGAGGGGACAUUCUGCCGCAUCCCUUUGGUGUGCUGGAACACUACGGUUGUUGUUACUGUUACUCGGUGGUAACAUCAACAGUUAUAUAAUUUUCUUAGGUUGGUUCCCUGCUACAAUAAAUCAUUGAGCUCAUAUCAAAUCAAGAAAACAAGAGUGAGAGGGAGAGGAGGACAAGUUUGUCGCUCGUAAAUAAGAUGUCUCCAUCCAUUUCUCUUAGCAACAGCUUAAAUUAGAAAUGAUGCAAAUCCUUUACCAUUAUAUGGUUAGUCAAGCUAUAUAUAAUUCGAGUGAGUAUGAGGGGGGCGAGGAAACCGUUGUUUGAAAUGAACCAUGAACGAACUUUCCACACGCCGAAUAAAAAGAUUUUAUGGUCAUCUGCACCGCACGUGGUGGAGUGCAGACCCGUGCUGUGUCUAGGCCCUACGGGGACGCAACAUGUGCCUACAACCUGCACAGACAGCAGACUUUCUUGUAGCACCUGCUGUGUCUUGGCCCUACGAGGACGCAACAUGUGCAGGGAAACAGCCAGAAACAGAGUCCGGCCUAGAGUGGAGCUGAUACCCUUGGUCGAGGCACGAGUAGAGAGACAUACGGUUGUGAUUGCCAUUUGCUAGUGGAGAGACAUACAGGCGGUUGUUGAUGCCUUCCAUUUUUGUCUAGUGUGUCCUAGUUAAUUCCUUCAGCUGACCACAACAACAAGUUUUAUGCUGAUGAGUUUAUGUUUACUGACAUGGAAAAUAAUCGGACGUCACCAUCAUGUAGUAGUCCUGCUUGUAGCCCCCCUCAGCGCCUCAGAAUUAGCAAGACGUGAUGUGAUGGCAGCCUGGAUUCAAAGCUCAUCAUCAAGAUUGAUCCUUCCUCUUCAAAAUGCCUUGCAAUUGCUGCUAGCCAAAAAGCUCAUUUACUAAAGCCCUCGUAACAGAAAAGGACUCCCAUUGAUACCGGAAGGAAAGAACGGUGUAUGAUAAUUCCUAAUUAUCCAUUUUAUACCAUGGCACAUCACCAUCAGACUGCAACUAAAACAAAAAGCAUUGGCCACAAAAGCAGUAAGAACAACUAGGGUAACUCAACAUGAUGAUUCCAUUAAAGGAGUCCAAAUACCACAACACUAAACGAGCCCUAGUACCCAAAUACAAACCAACAUGACAAACAUCCUCCCCCCCCCCCCAUCGCAAGCAUGCAUGUGCUCCCAAAAGGCUUAGAAGAAGAGCUUGUAGGGAGAGGAGGCAUCCAAGGGGUGGAUGAGGUAGGUCAGGACCAGCGCCACCAGCAUUAGCAGAUAAGCAAUCCCUUGGUCGAUUGAUGUCCCUACCCAGAAAAUAUAACAUUUCUAUCAGUCUUCCGAACCUUCGACACACGCAAUCAUGGCAAACCAAAGAGUUCCAUUCAUAGAUCGAGCUCACUAAAAGACUCUCAUAGACUUCAAAACCAUCUGCUUUGAAGAUUAAAUCUUUUACAUCUGUCGCCGAUUAAAUGUACGAAGAAACAGCACAUUGUGCCUAAGCUAUUAGAAACCAAAACACGGAUAAAAGAAGGGGAAGAUCCAAAAAGAAGAGAACAGAUCGACGUAAAAGCAGCAAAAACAUCAGAUCUUUGGCAUCUAAAACAAUAACAACAGCAGGAAAACAAAAAAAAAUAAUAAAGGAAACAUCAGAUCACCGUCGCUGGUGGGCGAGGGAGCGGGGGCCUGGGCCUGUACGGCAGGCAUGAGGAUGGCCAAGGCGAGAACCAUGAUGGCCACCAAACCGAACGAAGCCCUGGGAAUCCCCGCCAUCUCCUCCGAGACCAAGAAGCGAACAACACGCCCUGAGAUCACUCACUCUCUCUCUCUCUCUUCCUUCUGCCGGCGGAGCAGAGAGGAGGAGCGGGAUUUGGGAGGGGGCAAUGCGCCUCGAUUCACUUCCUCCUCUUUUAUUCUUUUUCUUUUCCUUUCUGGAUUCGAACACAUCUCCCGGACCCGACGGGUUUGGACCUCCAUAGCGGAUCCGAUGGCCCCAAUUUUACAUGCAUGUCCCUUAACAGUUACGAAAUACUUGUAAGCUUUCCACAUACAUAUUAAUCUUAAAAUAUUCAUGCCAACUAAUUCUAACCAUGAUUAGCACGUGGGAAUUACAGUCUUAAUUGAUUAAAUUACCGUAAUUAAUAAAUAUAAUUGAUAUAAUAUUUAUUUUUUAGUUUUGGAGUGUGUGUGUGUAUAUAUAUAUAUAUAUAUAUAUAUAUAUAUAUAUAUAUAUAUAUGUGUGUGUUAAACUUAUAGGGACUGAUAAAAUCGAAAGUCUUUCAAGGGAUAUGUACGUAAUUCUGCCAAAUAGAAUACAAAUUGGGCGGCGGGGCACGCGUCCCCAUCUCCCGUGGCCCACCCACGUGAGUACCGCCUCGCCGACCCGGGUCAAGCCCAGCCUGGCCGGUGUCGAGAUCGGCCAGUUUGUACGGCUGACCUUGUGCCACGUCACAAACCGUCCCGAAAAAUACGGGUACGGUUCGCGCGGAAGAGGAAUCCUCUCCCUCUGGUGUGGUUGGAGCCUUCUGUUCUGAGAUUCGUGCGCGCGUGUAUCUCUUCUCGGCAUUAUUAGGAUCCGUGCAAGGGGGGUGUGGUUUGCGCCUUCCGCUGUGAGAUUCGUGCGUGCGAGUCUCUCUUCUCGGCAUUAUUAGGAUCCGUGGUGUGGUUUGCGCCUUCUGCUGUGAGAUUCGUGAUCCGUGCCUGGCCCUCCUAGGAAGCCUCAUGUGGAUGGUUAGCUUUUCGUUGGGGUCCAAGAACGUGGCCAAAAGGGAUAUCAGACGGACUCUACGAAUCGGACGGCUGUGGGAUGAGAUGGGACGGUUUCGAUGGCCACGAGCCCUCAUCACACUGGACCCUACAUUAACUUCUGAGAGUAGAAGCAAGAAUCACCUCCGACCCACCGCCCACUAUAGUUAGUUAUUCCUCUCUCUCUAAUUGAUGGUUUGUGCUAUUUAAUUUAAUUUAAUUUAAACGCGCUUCAUCUUCCGCUUCUUUGGUUUUAGUUCCUUCUUUGUUCCUUUCUUGGAUCUCUUGUCGCCUCAUCGAACCUUUUGAUAAACUGGUUUGGUUUGGUUUGAUCUCCCGUGCGAAUCGCUUCGUCCUCUGCCGUAAAUUCCAGUUCCAGGUGAGACCCGGUUUCUUGAUGUCGCUAAAGUAGCGAAGGAUCGAUGCGGGGUUUUCUUCGUUUCGAUUCUUGUAUAUGAUUGUUUCUUUAGAUUUCUCUUCCUCGUGUGAUUGUUCGCUUUUUCGUUGGGGUCCAAGAAAGUGGCGAAGGCUCGAUGCGGGGUUUUCCUCGUUUCGAUUCUUGUAUGUUUCUGUUUUCCAAGUGGCGAAGGAUCGAUGUGAGGUUUUCUCGGGUUCGAUUCUUGUAUGUGUCUGUUUCCAAGUGACGAAGGAUCGAUGUGAGGUUUUCUUCGUUUCGAUUCUUGUAUGUGUCUGUUUCCAAGUGGCGAAGGAUCGAUGUGAGGUUUUCUUGGGUUCGAUUCUUGUAUGUGUCUGUUUCCAAGUGGCGACGGAUCGAUGUGCGGUUUUCUUCGUUUCGAUUCUUGUCUGUGUCUUUUUCGCGUGAUCUUGUGACGAGUAGUUCGCUUUUUGUUGGGGUCCAAGAAAGUGGCGAAGGAUCGAUGUGGGGUUUUCUUCAUCGAUCGAUUUGCUUCGUCUCCGAGUCAUGGAAUUAUCCGGACGCUGGAGAACAGAUUCCAGGUGUGUUGCCUUCUGAUUCGAAGUAGCUUGAUCUGUAUUUCUGAUGCAGUUUGUUUCGCUGGUCGAUCCUUUUCUACGGUGCUAGUUGUGACGGGAUCUUUUUAGUCUCUUAAGGCCGGAUUAAAGGGAACAUUAAUAAUACUUGAAUUAAUAUUUUUUAGUUUCUUCCUUUCCUUGUUGUACUUGUGACCACCCGUAUUCUUCGUUUUCAUCUGUGGACUGGAUCUGUUCACUUAGAAAGCCUAUAGAAAUUGGUUUUUGAGAACAUAAUCCUUUCUUUGUAAUCAAGCAGAGAGAGAUAGUGGACAUUGGGUUAUAAAUAAUAGGAUGUUAAGUAGAUGUUUAUGAGCAUAAUUUGGUCCCAUGAUGUUAGCCAGACUUGUUAGAAUGGACUGCAGCCUUAGUUUACGCACAUUUGUCGAGUGAUGCUUUGUGAGAGUUUGGUCGUAUGGUGAAUAAUCAUGUGCAAGAAUUCAAUAGAAAUUUUCCUCCUGAGCAAGCAUUACCUUGUUUUCUUUAUUGUUCAUAGGAAGAAUUGUGUCAUAUAUCGGUGCCAAUGAGUUCUAAGAACAUCCACGAAGGUGCUAAGAAGGAAAUCACUUCAUGGCAGGAGACAUCAACUUAGGACAAAAUAGCCAAAAAUAAAAUGUGGGUAAUUCCUCCAUAUUUUUUUUUCUCAAACAAAUUCCUUUUUGAGUUCCUUUUGUCUGUAUCGUAUGUAUAUACUAACAGAAACACCAAAACUAACUAACUUCACACAUGAAAUCCCUCACUGUUUUCGAAUUAGGUUUAUUAUAAUAAAAGUGAAAUGAAAUGUUCGAUAGGCUGGUUAUAACAAUCUUCCCAUGUCGGUGAAUCUCUUUUUUUCAGAUGAUGAUGAGGAAACCAUGAAACUCACUUUUGCGGAUAUUUCUCAAGUGAAUUUUCCUGCCAUUUCUGAUUUUUUUUACCUUUUAACUAUUUAAUGAUGUGAAAGUUCUUCAUGUCAGAACGUGUUGAUGAUAGCUUGACUUGGCAACACUUAUUUCUCAAAAUAGCCAACGUGUUGAUAGCUUCAUGUCAGAAAGUUCUUCAUGUCUGCUAUUUGUGUAUUCUGUGAGAAGAUUGUUUGCUUCUCUUUGCAAAUUUCACAUCAUGAUAUUUUGGUGGGAUAAAUUAUUCACUUUUUUUCGGUUUAGAAAAAGGUUGUCGUCUUCUAGCAUAUCAUUAGAUUCUUCAUAGAUCGUUUAGGUGGUAAUACGAGUAGUAACUAACGUAAAUUAGUUUUACUCAUAGGUGAUUGUCGGGCCAAAAUUUGUAUGAUUUAUUAGGAAUGAAUAAUUAGAUAAAAAAAAAACAGAUGAUAAGCUGAAAUUUUUAGUAUUGCACUGAUUUAUGUAGGGAAUUGAAUUACCCAAAUUUCUAUUUAUUGCUAUUAUCAAACCAUUUACAACCAAAUAUGACGAAACCAAACAUGUAUUUUCCCGGGGCAUGAUUUUUUUUUAAUUCUUUUGAUCCUUUGAUUAAAAAAGAUAAUUCUAAUUUUUUUUAUUUCUUUUAUCAUUUCUCUUACAGGUUUUGAUUUCUGGGGCCUUACGAAUUUACAUUUCCAAUCAAUCGUGCGUAGACACAAUCGCCAAAGACUGCUCACGACAAAGUGACACAUUUCAGUUCCCAUGCAAAGCUCAACUAGAGUUGCUUUUUCAUUUCUUUGACGACUUUAUAUAAAAGGACGAAAUUGCUAAAAACAAAAAGGGUGAGCUGCGGCUACAAAGCUAAAUAGCUCGGCCUUUCAUCAGGAGUCGAAGCCACAAAAAAAUUGCAGCAGCAAACAUUAUUCAUCAUCAUAAAACACAUUUCGUGUUCUCGCCGCAACUUACAGAAACCAUUUAUUUCACCGCGAAGCACUUUGGGUUGGGAUGAGAGAGAGAGAGAGAGAGAACUGGAUCUUUUGCCCCUCUUAUGAAACCUGGGGGGAUGGGGGAAAGAAAAAACAGCAGCCAAAGUGCACACAAAAGUGGCACAACCACCCCAUCGAUUCAGGGGCUUCAGUCCGAUAUUCUCAUUUCUACUUCGAGAAGAUCCUUCACAACCUCGUAUGUCACGAAUGCAAUCGCAAUGGAUGGAACCACCUGAAACCAAAGAUAAACUUUGUCAUCGGAUUAAAGCUGAUGAGGAGAGAGAACUAAUCCUCCUACCUUGACCAAAUUGGGGACGAGACCCUUGUAUAAUGCCCCAAAGCCUUCAUGAUGCACCGUUUUCCUGAAUGCAUCAACCAUUCCUGUGUAUUCCAAGGGAGCACUACUCCUACCUUGACCUGUCACAACCGAGGCUGCAUCUUUCCAACCCACCAUUUGCAUUCUUCUGCGAAUGACAUCGAGAGGGUACGCAACCGUCUGCCCAACAGUUCCAGCAACAGCACCGCAUCCAAGCCUUGUGACCACACUCAACUCCGAAUCUUCAACAAGACCAUAUGGGUUAGAUUUAAUUAGCCAAUCCUUAAGCGAUUCGUAUACCGCAAAAUUGAGGCCUACAUAAGGGAUCUGCAAACAAAACAAAUUCUCUGUAUGAGCAACCAAAUUUUGGUUUCAUAGGUUUAUUUGUCAUGCCUUCUGUAAAGAAAACAAUCUUUACUUGUGUGUCAUGCCUCUUUUAGGUUUAUUAUUCCAAAAUUUGCAGAAGGUUUAUUAAAUUAAACAGUCUAAGAAAAAUCUAAUGAGCAAAAGCAUCUUAGGGAUUGCUAGAUAUAAAUAGAUGUUUGGCUGUACUUAUUGAGCGAUGCUGCCAAAAAUAAGGAGAAUACUUACUACUCCUAUGACAGAUGGAAGCCACCCUUUGUACAGAGCUCGAAAGCCUUCUUCACGGUAGACAGUGCCCAAUGCAUGGAACAUUCCUCUGUACUGGUAAGGCGACUUUUCAGUCUGCAUUGCCAAAGAAAAAAAGAGACAAGGGGUAUGAACAAGAUCUAGAGGAUCAACCAUAUCACAAAAGACGUACAUGUGACAUUAGUAAAAACAAGAAAGUGCACCUGAACUGUAAUUCUUCCACGGACCAUAUCCAUUGGGUAAGUGGCGGACAUAGCAAUAAUUCCAGCACAUGCUCCAGCCCCAAGACGUAAUACAGGAGUGAGCUGAGCUUCUUCUGCAUGAUUGACACAAAACUAUAUGAACCCCCACCUACACCGGUUCAGCUAGCAACUGAUUUUCAUCCAGUGAUCAGGACAAUUUAUGGAAUGGAAAGAGAGGAAAAAAAAAAAAAACCUCUCAAAGAGAGGCAUGUGUUUGCUAAUUUCCUUGAAGUGACAUAAAUAUAUAAUAAUAUAACAUGACCAAUUACUGCACCAAUUAACAGCAUUCAAUUAAGUACGCCAAUAAAAAAGACAAUAUAUAAGGAUAGGUCAUACCAUUGCCUGAUUGCUGACGAUAAAGCCACAAAAUUCCACUGUGACAAGUUACAUAUCCAAACAUCAGUAGUCAUACAAUAUUGAUUUGCAAAAAUAAGAAUACAACCUAAUCUCAGCUACAAGGAAUUGAAUAGAUGGAUAAUCAGAAGUCAUUUAGCACAAUUCCCAGACAACGUUUGGACAAACCCAGGGAAAUCAUCCAGUUAUCCUUAAUAUUACACUUGAGAACUUAACAUUCAUAUGGAUUUGAAAUUAAACCACUAAAAAAAACUAUGCUUUGUCAAUAGUUUAUUUUUGUCUCUAACAAAGUUCAAAGCAGUUGCAACCAUGCGAACCCUGUCUUUGAAAAAGGAUCUCAUAAGUAAUAAAAUCAAAUCCCACAUGAUUUUUUGCACUUGGUUUUACCUGAAACACUAUUCACAAUGAAAUUCAGUCUAAGCAUGUAAACAAAAAAAAUUUGUUCCAAGUUGUAAUAUGUGCCCAAUGGUAGAUUAGAUAUUUUCUUAUUCAAGAUUUCAGAUCAAAACUCAAACAUUAGCUGAAGUAUAAAUAAGACCACAGAAUACGAAUUGAUAAUGAUUAAUCUUAUACCCUCAUUAUGCUUGUCCCAAUCAAAACAAACCCUAUUUACAAAGAAAUAUCUCUGCAAUAACAUAUGAGCGUCCAACAGAUGGACGUCCAUCCAUGCCAGUUUUAUCCGAUGGAAAGAGUGAAAUUUUGAACCACACGCCCAACAUUCUGCAUUUCUGUGCUUAAUUCCACUGAGAUCUCCAGAUACUCUUCACGUACUUGUUAUAAUAUUAAAUUUGCUAUAAUGUCAUUGCAGUCUUGAACCCAAUAAGCCCUUAGCUGACACAACCAAACCUCUCUACUAGGACACUGCUACUUACAUUUGACAUAUUCAUAAUCAAAACAAGAAAAAAAAAGCAACGAGAAAUAUUUGCCAAAUGCAAAUUAAUAUCUGUAUACUUGUUACAACAAAACCGGACAGCAUAUUCUAGCAUGCAUGAAAUAAUAUUUUUCCCAUCAACCUUUGACAAGGAGACGCAAACCACUUGAAAAGUCUGAAAAUUUUUGAAGUCUUGCAGCUUAUGAUCAAAACUUCAGUCCAAGACAGAUAAAGUUUGAGAAUAUUUGGAUGUUGAUCGUCAACAAGACACUAGAGGUGCAAAUCUGUAAAGUUACUUGUCAUCUAAAGUGUAGCUAUGCAACUAUUUUGCUCAUCACAUCCAGUGAACAAAUUAGAAUAGCAUGUGAUCCAUAGUAUUAGUAGUUUUAGCAAAACAUUUUCAAAUACACUAAGACUUGAGCCACGGAUUAAGUAUAUUCCAGCGCAUUAGGUUUUUAAGCCAAUGCACAAGUCCAAAAUAGUGGUACAAGAAGCAAAAUUUAUAUCACAACCAACACAAAGAUACCAAAAAUGAAAAAUAUCACAUGCCAAAUAAAAAUCAUUUCUUUGAUAUUUUCUUUUAACUGACUUUCAUCUAAGUAUAAAACCAAGAAAGCAUCCAAGAAUUUACCUUGAUGCUUGUUCGUAGCUAAAAAACUUGACUGCCGAAUUGGGGACAAUCCGUGCACAGUUAGUACCAUUGCCUCUGAAUAGUCCUCGUAAACCCUCAGAUUUCCAUAUAUACUUGAGGCCUUGGAUAGUUCCAUUAUAUUGAAUGCUAUGAGGAUUUUGAACCUGUAUUUACAACAAAAUCCAUAUUAGUAAUAAAUCAAGAAAGCCAUGUUGUUCAAAGACUUGUUUCUGUUCAAAACUCACACAAAUGCCAGAAUUAAUGAACAAUAUUGAACAUAGCAUGAUAACUUCAGUUGUAUUGCAUUAGCAAAUUAGUUGUGUUGCACUGGCAUAAACACCUGCAUUUACAGUUGUAUGCAAUUAUAUGUGCACGUUAAGUUCAAAAAAAAAAAGGAGCUUCAAGAUCUGGUCACAUGAAAUAUUGAUGCUUAAUUUGUAUAUCUAAAAAACCAAGAAGAAUCCAGACACCAAUGGAAAACUUAAAAUCUCACAAUUGAUGUCCAGAUGCUUAUCUUGUUUACCAAGUGACAAUGACAUAUCCAAUUGAAAAAAUAAGCCAACCCCAUCAACCAUCUCUAUAGUAUAAAACAUCACAAUAAAAAAAAUGCUUCAUCAUGCCUGCGAAACCAACUGGUCCAAUCAAGUAACCCCAUUUUUAUUGCAUUAUGCUAUCAUCACUAUAUGCAUCAUAACCUCAUGAGGUAUAAUACACUUGUCUAGAUGUAGCAUAAGAUCUCAUUUGAAAAUCUCAUAAGAUUAGUGAUAAGAUCAUUUAGUCUCAUAUUGGUUAAGCAAUAGAGGAACCAAGGACACAUAAACCUCCCGGGUCUCCCUUACCCUCAGAGGCGCCUUUUGGAGCCCACGUGCUCCAAAAGGGCAAAACCUUGCAGGUACGCUCAUCCAUUCAAAGCGGACAAUUCCUCACGAGCCCAUUGCCUUUUGGAGCCCGAGCGCCUCGCUUCAUUUCCAUGCGACGCGCUUGAAAGAGGCCCAACGCCUGGGCACUCGCCCGAGCCCAAGCGUCGGGGGCUUCGGGCGAACGCCUGGGUUAAACCAGGCGACCAAAUCAGAUUUUUAGGUCUGGUUGGUCCCCGGUGCUUUAGUUGGUUCAAUCGAACCAACUAAAUCACCGAUAUCAGGCUCCCUCUCGCGAUUUCCCCGACUUCCCCAACCCUAGGACGCUCGCGAUUUUUCCGCUGAGAUUUCUUCUCCGUUGUCACUGCUCUCUGCUGCCGCUGCCACAAUCGCUGCUCGCCGUUGUUGUCAUCGCACGCCGCUGCUAUCGCCGCUCCCCACUGCUGUCGCCGCUCCCACUCCCACUAUCGCUUGCCGCUCCCGCUCCAACUACCACUGUCGUUGCCUCAACAGCCUCGAUCUUCUCACUAUACUGUUAACAGUAUAUUAACAAUAUACUGCUAACUGUAUACUAAUAAUAAUAUUUUUUUUAUUAGAUUAAUAAUAUAUUAUUUUAAUUUUAAUUCUAUUAAUUUUUAUUUAUUUAAAAUUAUUUUUAGGUUUCAGAAUAAAUGGCAAGUGUACAGAGCAACUUAAUAGAUUUCAUGUAAAAUUUUAUUAUUUUGAUUUUUGAGACAUUCUAUUAAUGUGACAUUGUGAUUUUGUACCCGAUUAUCUUAAUUUAAUAACAUAUUUUUUUAUUUAAAUAAUUAUAUUUAUUAAUUAUAUUAUAAUUUUUUUAUAUUUUAGCGCCUCACUUCGCUCGGGCGAGCACCUAGCGCCUCAAGCGUUUUUGGACCUUGGCGCCUAGCGCUUUUUAAAUCAAUGAUCGCACCAAUGACCGCCGACUAAAUGACUUAUCAAAUUGGCAUUAGAAGAAGGGCCCUUGAGCCCUUGGCUCCCCUCCAAGAGGGGGCACUGAUAAGGCCAUUUAGUCCCAGAUUGAUUGAGUAGGGGGACCAAGGGCUCAUAAGUCCCCCGGGUCUCCCUUACACUCAGAGGUGCUUUUUGGCGCUCACGCGCUCUGAAAGGGUAAAACCGUGCGGGUACACUCAUCUGCCCAAAGCGGAGAAUUUCUAACAAGCCCAUCGCACUAGUGACUGCCGACUAAGUGACUUAUCAAAUUUGACACCCAUCGUGGGUCGUAUCGGAUUCCUGCUGAACCUCGUCGAGCCUACGAUUCAUGGCUUGGAGUUAUGCCUUCAUCGAGUGUUCUCAGGAGUCGGCGGACUGGGCCUCAGACUCUGUCAGGGUUUUCGUGCGGUUUGGCAAAGCGCUACACUCCGCGGUUGGAGGGUGUGGUGCGGUGUCACUCAUCCCUUCCGACCGAGGAGGUUCUUGGAAGAUGGGGCGUGGACUCUCCGGUUGAGCUUCAGGUGGAGGAUGUGCAAUCGACGACUGGAGGGCCAGUCGUUGCGUGGAAUCACUAGCUGCAUCAACUGGGGGAGGAGUGGGGCGAUGGCUUGCGUCAUGUCGAUGAGGGUUUGCAACUGUUGAGCGAGGCCCAGGAACGCCUCUGACGGGGCAAGGGGCCCAUUCCCAAUCCUAGGGGGAAAGUCUUGGGUCGUUGAGUAGGCACCAGUAGAAACAGAACAAAGGCUACUCUUAGAAUUAUAAGGACAGCCAAUUGGUACAAAAGGAAGGGUAUCAGGGGAACAAACAAUUAGUACCAGCACUAAAGUUCUUGUAUUAUAGCCAACCAAAUCGAUUGAGUGAUAAGGGGCUGUGAUAAGUUAAUAUCUGACUGCAUAUUGAUUGAAGUGAAAAAUGAUUGGCUGAAUCAAUCAAUCCAAACUUGGACAACGAAAAAUCAGCUUGUCGUUUCAAUUCAGAUCAGCCAAUCGGACUAGAAUUGAUUGACUCAGCAAUUUCAUUACACUACAACAACUACGAUAUAUCUGGCGACUGGUUGUCAGAACCACUUACUAUUGCAGAAACAACCAAAUCGGUGUCAACCAAUCUUAAAACCAUGGGAUAUGAAUAAUUGGUUCGAUGUUGAUCAGAUCAACAAGACACUAAACAUCAGAUCCGUCUCGAUAAUCCUAAUCUAAUGAUUGCAUGCUUAUGAUAUAUAUAUGCUUGAGCAAUGGUAAAGGGCAAGCAAAGGAACAACUGAAAAUGAUCUUAUUCAGUUUGACUGCCUACAGUCUAUGAAUUUAACAUCAUCUGCUCACAAGCAGAGCCAUUGCUUAAAUCCGAAACAAACGGAAAAGAAAGACAAUGCUGAAAUCCAAUUGUACUUUCUUGAAGGUAUUUCGAGUUUACAUGCUAAUGCUAAGCAUGGAAAAUGCUAUAUUCUGAGUAGGAAAAUUUUUAUUUUGAAGAUUCACCAAAUGAAGAUGAUAGUUGCAAAGCAAAUCCAGGAAAAGAUACAUUGGAGUCCUCGAUGCCAAAAAGUAUUUGCAUAUCAUUAAAGACCGUGUCAAUUUAAAAAAUAACUCCCUAGAUCUCAGAAGGCAAAAAGAAAUAAUUUAUCUCACUACACACAAAAUAUUCUAAAACCUCAACAGCUACAAGAAAGCAAAAGAACAGAUACAUAAGUAUUGCACAGUUACACAAAGGGGUGAAAAGAACAGUCGUUAUACCUGAAGCAGGAUUUUUAAACGUUCAAGUGGAGCAACAGCAGUCCUUGAUCUGCAAAGCAUUCAUACAAUGAGACAGUCUAUGUGAAGGUUGUAUAUACAAUACUAUUGUAAGAUACCAAAUUGUAGUGUGAAUGUACUAAAAAGACAAAUAUAUUCCCUCUGUAACAUCAGAUUCAAAUCAGUGACAACAAAUAAACAAAUGCAAGCAAGUGAACUUAUUCUCAUAGAAUUAGGACUCCCUUGCUCAUCAAAAGAUCAAAAUUAUUCAUUUGUUAAUAUCAAAGUAGUUGCAGUCUUCCAUAUGGCAAUGGUGAAAAAAUAUGUUCGAGUGAAGUGAUAAGGUAGAAGACCAUCAGAGAAAGAGAGAGACAAGAAGGAAGAAACAAUCCAGACGAAGUCAGUCUUCUAAUUCAGAAAGUUCCUCCAGGAGUAAGAAUGCUGCAUAUCUAUCCACAUGUAGCUUACUUUACAUAUAUAAUAUUUAACUCUUUUAAACCUUUCAGAUAAAUUGGAAAGCCUAAUGAUAACAGUAUACAUUAUUUUAUAAUAUUUCAAUCAAAAUUUUCUUUCACUUAACCACUCUCACCAAAAAAUUAAAUCAGCUGAUUUCAAGAAAAGCAGUUACCAAUGAAGUUUUGAGCCAACCAAAAUUUAAAUAGAUUGAUACUGAAUCACCAAUUUCAAGACUAACACCAAAAGUAUUUUGGCACUAAAAUAGGCCAUAACUAAAGUAGAAGUCCAGUUGACAAGUUAAGCAAUCCAAAAUAUUAUAGUUAUUAUGCAGGAAAAAUAAACAAACAAAUACAUAAGUAGCGAGCUUUAAUAUUUACUACUUGCCAUAACAAAGCGCAGCUGCAUAGGUCAUCUUUUAACUCAAAAGAAAAGUCUGGAAGAUGACCAAACCAUGAUAUUUUUCUUAACACGAGUUAAUAAGUCCUCAUUCAUAUCAUGUUUUUAAUUUUAUGUACAUUCAUGAUCUCAAACACUUGGAAAUAUUAAUUGGGAAUCCAGGAUCGGUCUACUGCACAGAAGCCAUGAUCAGCAGACGACUUUGAGGGUUUGUAUUUGCCUUCUGAAUAGAAAUGGUAAAUUCAAUCUGAAAAAUGUUAAUUCGUCGUUGGUGCAAAAUCAAUACAUUGAUACCCUAAAAUCCAUUUAAAAAUCUCGAAAUAACAAAAUAUUGAGCAGGCAGAAGGAUCAUCAAGCUGGAACCUUACAAGUAAAUCUAUGACCAUCAUGUUUGACCUAGAAGAAUGUGACUAGCAAGACCAAAAUAUCUAUACCAAAUAACAAGAAACCCAAGUUCCAAUACGUCAUCCAAAAGAGCAGAACAAUUAAUAGUACACCCCAUGUGGCAAGAAUCAGGGUAUAUGUGUAUCUUGCCUCUAAACUACCAUGGUCCAGAGCAAUUCACUUUCUAUGUAAUUGUGGUUUACAUCAAAAUCAACAGAUAUUAAACUAAUUUAGCAUAACACCCUCCUAAUUCUACCAAGUAAUUGGGUCUAACAUCCAAAUUCAUCUACCUAGACCAUCAACCAACACUGACCAAUUACUCUCAUUCAUUCGUUUUUAUAACGUUCUAAAAGUUCCUAAAUUCUUAUGUCAGUUGUGUGUCAUACCUCCGAGCAGACCCUACAUUCUGACGUUUACAGAAAGACUAGCAGACUAAACAAGAAGGUUGACCAAAGAGGUAAUAUCAUAAAAAUAUAAAACACCAUUAGCAAAUGUCCAUUUCCCUCAUAUUUUCGCUGCCCGAAUCAAAAGUCAGAAAGGUUGAGUUUCAUGCUCGCUAGAACUACUAGAUAGAGAUUGAAGAAGCAAGAAACUAAACCAACCAAUUUGGCAAGCAUCAAGACCCAUGCCAAGGUCAAAAGACCCAAACAAACAAGCAAGAUUUAAAGAUCUUAGGGAACAGCAGGUGAAACAUGGAAAGCGAAAUCACCACCGAACUCAAAAGGAAAAAAAGCAACGGAACUAGUCGGAUGGGACAAAGAAGAAGAAGAAGAGUUGAGUUUCAUGCUGGCUACAACUAUUAGGGUUCGCAGAAGCCAGAAACUAAACUAACCAAUUUGGCAAGCAUCGAGAUAAAAGCUAGGGUCAAAAUACCCAAUCAAACAACCAAGAAUUAAAGAUCUUAGGGGACAACGGGUGAAAUAUGGAAAGCGAAAUCGAAAGGAACAAAACAUCGAGACUAAUCGUACGGGAGAAAGAAGAAGGAGAGAAGGAAGUCCAAUUUAACAAUCUAUCCAAGAAAACGGACAUGCAAGUUUCAAGAAGGAGAAAACGAAACAGACAAAUACGGUCAAGAAAGAGAUUCGGAAGACUUACACUCCUCCCGCGACGCCUCCGGCCACGAGGGACUUGCAGAUGCUGACGACCGCGUAGCCGGGGGCCUUGACUCCCUCCCUCGCGAGCUUCGCCUCCUCCGCGAGAUUCACGAUCGUCGUCACCGCCGACUCCCCCGUGCUCUUCCCCACCACAUCCUCCGACGCCAUAAAACCCUACAACAGGAUCGAAGCGGCCUAAACCCUAAACUAAACUGGACCUGGGGGAGAGCACGUGGCUUGUUCAGCGAUCGACGGGAGACGAGGAAACAAACAAAGGCGGUCUGUCUCCGAUUCCUCCGACUCUUCUCCUUCCGCGGUGAGAGGCAGCGGAGCGGGAAGGGGGGAGGCGGUGGCGGCGGUAGGGUUCGUGUUCGAAUGGCGUCACUCUCUUUCGAACACAUAAACAAGUGAGCGAGUGAGGAAUAAAGGGAAACAGCGAGUCACUUUUCUUGGGGUAUUAAUAUAUAAAGAAAACCUGUGUGUUACUCGUGCGACUUACCUUCCCCUUCACCCGUCUCAGUCACCCCAAAAAAAAAUCAACCUGGGUCCCAGAGAUUACCCGAUAACCAUGGGGGUAGCGAAGGUGAGGGCAAACAUCGGGUGAAAAAAAGUAUUGCUCGUUAAGAACCGGUAACGAUGGAUUCCGCGCUAUGGGAGUCGCCGGAUGACGAUCAAAUUACGAAAUUAACCCCCAACACAGUCAUGUUUCUUCGAAGAAACAAAGGAAAGAAGAAGGUUUUUAUGUCUUCUUCAUCUUCGGAAAACGCAUGUCCUGUUUCUUCUCAAACCAAAAAAUGUCAUUCUUAAGGUGGUGGCAAGGAAGAUGAAGUGUUAGAAGCAAUGCUUAAGGUGGCAAGACGAGAAGCUUUUUUCAUACGUACAUCUCGACGUAUAUACUACAAUAUAAGUGGGUAAGCAUCAUGAUGUCUCGAUAGACAGGCCAUGUGUUCAUCAUAAAACUCGGGAACGACGAGAACAGAGUAAUCAGCUUCAUCCACACACGCAAAAGGCAACGCUACAUGCUAAUGAUGGGCCUAAUCGAGCCAUGGUUCAUUGUCGAUGGACUGCUCUCCUACCGACCGAAGAACGCAGGCAUCGGAGCUUCGUCGAUGAUGUAUUUGAAUCAGCUCGACAUCUUUUUCUUCUUCCACUCCGAGAAAUUUAGCUCCAUCCUGUUGGUUAUCAUGAACUCUUUCUUUAUCGUCAAACGUCGAGUCACCUCAUCCAAGCCACAUUUUUGGUGCCAAAGAGACCCCAAUCAUUGAUCAUUAACUACAUAUGGAUAUAGAAAGUUUACUGCAGUCGAGGAUUCACACUAUACGAUAGCCGCCACUGAAUCACACGUUCACUGAAUCAUCAUUUUUUUCCCUUUUCUUUUUCGUUGAGGUUGGGUGGCAGAUGAUGACAGGAGAAGGAAGUAUGAGUUGCUUAUGACCCAAAAAGAAACAAAACAAAACAAAAAGAAACAUCAAAACGAACGAUGACAAAGUGAGAACAUGGGAAGAGAGGGGCGUGAAUGGACAGUCGAAGAUGUGAUUGCCAAAAGGAAGCUCGAGUCGAGUGGGGGGGAAAAUAGCAAGAAAGGUGCCAGAAGACUUUUAGGGUAUUUCGCUUGGACGGCCGAUGCGAGUUCUUAUUUGUACGUGGAAGAUGUUGUUUGCUUGGUUCCGAGUAGGGACGAGGCAGUGCGGUGCAGUGCAAGCCUCGCCGGAGAAGGGUUCCACUUGCGGCAGCACGAGGGCAACGUGCGAGCUCUCCACUGCCGCAUCAGAUAACUCCGCACGCUUUCCGUAUGAUGGCGCAGCACAGGAACACAUGCCAAUGCAGUGCGCGCUGCUUGUCUUCUUCUUCAGUGCAAGUCGUGUAUAGCGGCGCAUCCUUUUUCUGUUCUAAGAACUCAGGGUUGCCUUCUUUCUUCUCAGGUCUUCCUGUCGAGAUCAAGAGCGUAAGACUCUUCUUAUCUCUACUAUAAGAACGUAGGGCUACCUUCUUUCUUCAUGUCGAGAUCAGAAGCGUGAGGGCGACAUCGCAGCACGUUGUCAGUACAGCCCACCGCCGAAAAGCGAACGGCAGGAAUGACAAGCACUAUUUGCUAGGAAAAGUGAACCAGGUUCCAAGCAAGAACAAGAAAUAACCAAUCUUUCUCUUCUGCAGAGGACACUGACACUCGAAAGUGGCGUGCGUUGCAGCCAUUGUUAUGUUGUCGCUAUUUACCUACUUGACUUUUACACACGCGUCACACGCAAGUCUACGCAUGUACAAUAUAUACUCAUGUGCUUUUAUAUGCUGUCGUGAUCGGUCGUCGUAUCUUUUUUGGUCCAAUAGAGAGCACGUGCGAUUAAGUUUAUGAGAUCGAGCUACAUGUCCCACCCGCUACCAGAAGCAGAUCUUUAUUUGGGAAGCCAAAACACUGCUCCAUUGAGGAUGGCUGAUAACAGAUUGGACUGCUUCAGAAUCUUUCUUUUGGUUCUUUAUGAUUUAGUUUUUGACUCAUGUUAAUUGCAUCAUUGUCCAUGACAGCAGCACAGUAGAGAAAAAGUCGACUUAAUGGAGUCCCCCAUUCGAUGCCGCUCUCCGUGGCUCAAAAUGGAGGUUGCGGCGGGCAUUUUGGGUUCGGAGCCGACCGCUGUUGUCCGUAUGCACCGUCUGCAGCCGAUACCGAGUGGUUACGCGUCACGGUCGGCGGACAGCCUUCGAUGAUUUCAUCUCUCUCCUCUGCUCACCACUCGAUUACAAUGCUAGAAGCGGUCGUCCUUUGGCCCGAGUGAGCUCUGCCUCCCGAUCCUCCCGCUAUAAAUUCGGAAGCUUCCCUCGCUCCUCUUCACCAAGAGCAGCGGGGCGAGACAGAGAAAGGUGAGAGCUUUAUGCUCGUGCAAUAUUCCUUUGGCUUUGUGUCUCCCGUUGGCUUUUCCUUGCAACGGAAUGGUGUUUUCGAUCUGAGGGUGGAGGCGACGAAUAGAGUGGGGGGGGGGAACAGGGGAGGCGGCUGGAUUCCUUGUGGAACAAGGCCCGAUUUUUAUUGGAUAUGAUGCCUAUUUGCUGAGGAAUCCUUGGCUUCGCUGGCCUACGUCUGCGAUCCUUUUGUUUCUCUCCAUACUUGUUGCUCGAGUCGAAGGCAGUGUUUGCUUGAAUUCCUUGUGCUCUUUUUGGUCUCUUUCUUAGUUCUGUUCUUGUUCCGGAGAACCCACCGAAAAGAUGAGGAAUGUUCGGUUCGCGCUACAUUUUCCAAGAUCCUUUUAGUGUCGAGUUUGUGUUUUUAAGGCCUAUUGACUCCUCCUCGGGAAAGUCCAAAGAAGUCUUCAAUCUUACUUUAUUUUUCGUUACAGUUCCUCGUUCUGUUCUUUGUUAUUUUUAUGGUCUCUGUUUCAUUCAUCUGCAUUUUUGUUUGGACACCAUUUUUAUCUGCUAAUCCAAUUGAUCCGAAAAAGAAGACGGUUCUGUUCGGAGUCUGCUGCUCAGAACAUGGAAUAGUCUGCUCGUGUGAAUCAUUUGCCUCUUCAACGUGUUCCUCUCUCCUGGCAUGAAACCUCCUCAUUUCCAGCAACAACUGUGCAGGUUUCCUCUUCCAAGUCCACUGAUACUACUCGAGAAGAUGGGAGUUUCUAGCCACGCAAGUGUGAUAAACGAAUUCGAAGCACUGACCAAGGACGCCGGCCGGCUCCAGAGAGAGACUCUUCGGGAGAUUCUCGAACAAAAUGGUGAAGCAGAGUACUUGCACAACUUUGGCCUGGGAGGAAGAACCGACCCCGACAGCUUCAAGUCUUGCAUCCCUUUGGUCACUCAUAGUGAUUUGGAGCCCUACAUCCAGAGGAUUGCCGACGGAGAUACUUCUCCUGUUCUAACAGGGAAGCCUAUAACUUCCAUCUCGCUCAGGUGAUGCUUUUGGACCUCUGCGUGCCUCUGUUUUUGAUACUACGGUGCCUGCUCUUGCUAACAUUUGAGAAGCUUGGUCUGCUCACCACAGUUCCGGUACCACACAAGGGAAACCCAAGCUGUUGCCGUUCAAUGAUGCGCUAAUCCAUUCCACGAUGCAGAUAUAUCGGACCUCCUUUGCUUUCAGAAACCGGUAUGGAGCUUGAACACAUUAAGCUUGCUUCUUCUUCUUCUUCUUCUUCUUCUUCUUCAAGCUUGCUUAGCAUGGAAGCUGAAUUCUACUGGGUGAGAGUAUUGGCUGGUAUUCCGUAUGUCCUCAUAUGAUCAAACGUUGUGUUUGCAGAGAAUAUCCAAUCGGCAACGGGAAAGCUCUGCAGUUCAUUUACAGCAGCAAGCAGGCCAAAACCAAAGGGGGCCUCACUGCCACAACAGCGACGACCAACGUAUACCGGAGCGAACAAUUCAAGCACACCAUGGAGGACAUCCGAUCGCAAUGUUGCAGUCCCAAUGAGGUUAUAUUUGGUCCAGACUUCCAGCAGUCACUGUAUUGCCACCUGCUGUGCGGGCUGAUCUACUCGGACGAAGUCCAGAUCGUAUCCUCCACCUUCGCACACAGCCUCGUUCAUGCUUUCCGAACGUUUGAGCGGGUGUGGGAGGAACUUUGCACGGAUCUCAGGGAAGGUGUUCUGUCGAGCAGAAUCACCGUCCCGUCCAUACGUGCAGCCGUCUCUAAGCUUCUAAACCCCAACCCCGGCCUGGCAGAUUCUAUACACAGCAAGUGUUCGAGAUUGAGCAACUGGUAUGGUGUGAUCCCGGCGCUGUGGCCCAAUGCCAAGUAUGUCUAUGGCAUUAUGACGGGAUCCAUGGAGCCAUACUUGAACAAACUAAGGCAUUAUGCGGGAAGCCUGCCCCUCAUGAGUGCUGACUAUGGCUCUUCGGAAGGAUGGAUCGGUGCCAAUGUCAACCCCAGUUUGCCUCCCGAGUUGGCUACCUUUGCGGUGCUUCCUAACAUCGGCUACUACGAGUUCAUCCCUCUGGAGAAACCCGAGGGGCCGGGGACGGAGACGGAGAAGGGUACUGCCUCAACCAUUCACUAUGUAGAGGCCCAACCGGUAGGCCUGACCCAAGUCGAAGUCGGCAAACAGUACGAAGUCGUCGUCACCAACUUUACAGGUAAUCGUUAUCUAUUUGCUCGUUCGUUUCCUCGUUGUCUUCGUGUCUGUGGCAGUGAAUCCCCCAUGUUUUCCGCAGCACUCACUAAUCGGUGUGGAUCUUGUGACAGGCUUAUAUCGAUACAGGCUGGGAGACAUCGUGAGGAUAGCCGGGUUUCGCAACUCCACACCGGAGCUCCAAUUCGUAUGCAGAAGAAGCCUAAUGCUGAGCAUCAACAUCGACAAGAACACCGAGAAGGAUCUGCAGUUGGCGGUGGAAGCAGCAGCCAAGCUGCUGGCGGAGGAAAAGCUGGAGGUGGUGGACUUCACAAGCCACGUCGACACAUCGACGGAGACCGGCCACUACGUGGUCUUCUGGGAGCUGUGCUCCGACGCGGCGGAGGAGGUUCUCCGCAGCUGCUGCAAUUGCUUGGACCUGUCCUUCGUCGACGCCGGCUACGUGGGAUCCAGGAAGGCCGGCGCCAUCGGGGCUCUGGAGCUCCGUGUGGUUCGCAGAGGAACGUUCCAGAAGAUCUCGGAUCAUUACAUCCGCCUGGGGGGUGCCAUGAGCCAGUUCAAGACGCCGCGCUGCGUCGGCCGGUCCAACAGCGAGGUUUGGCAGAUACUGUGCAGGAAUGUCACGGCGUGUUACUUUAGUACUGCCUAUUCCAUGUAAACCAAACCUAUUCUUCCCAUGUUUUUUCUGUCAUAUAUAUAUAUAUAUAUAUAUAUAUAUAUAUAUAUAUGUAUAUCUGUGAUCCUUAUUAAUAUUGCUCGGCUUCGUAGUAUUCAAAUGAAAUGUCACCACCACACACACAAAAAAGAAAAAAGAAAAUUCAUCCCUGGAAAUCAUUCUCGUAACCGAUGCAUGGAUUAAACCGGCAUUAAAUUUCUGAACCGUGCAGCUCUCAGUAUUUAACGAAGUAACCGCUGCAGCCUUCAGAUCGGUGGAGGGGAACACAGCUCUGCACAAGGUUAUCAUGGAAGCUUCAUCCCCUUCGCCGAGCUCUCCAAGCGCCUCGUUCUCCACCACUCCUUCACCGUCACCUUCAUCACCUCCUCCGACUUCUCCUCCCACGCCCAGACCGCCUUCCUCGAAGCCCUCCCCGCCGACCUCUCCUGCGUGACCCUCCCCUCCACCUCCCUUGACGACUUCCCUGGCGACGCCCGUCUCGAGACGCGCCUCUGUGUCAUGGUCGCCCGCUCCCUGCCCCACCUCCGCGACGUUCUCCGCCGCUUGAAGGAGACCACCCGCCUCGCUGCCCUUGUCGUCGACAUAUUCUACAGCGCUGCCCUCCCUGUCGCCAGAGAAGUUGGCGUCCCGUGCUAAGUCUUCUUUACCGCAAACUUCAUGUUGCUGUCUAUCAUAGUUCACUUUCCGGUCCUUCACGCGACCACCUCGUCCGAGGACCGGGACCUGCCGGAACCGGUGGUCAUACCGGGGUGCAUCCCACUCAGAAGUGCAGACCUCGCCGACGUGAUGAAGAACCGAAACAACGAAGCCUACCGAUGGGGCUGAGAGAUUGCAAACUUAACGAAGAAAACGGACGGCAUCCUCGUGAACAGCUUUGUGGAUCUUGAGCCAUACACGUACAAGGCUCUCGAAGAAGCAGAACUGACCUGGCCUCCGGUGUACCCUGCCGGCCCGCUCGUGUGGUCGCAGCAGGAAGAGUCGUCGGGAUCAGAGUGCCUCCAGUGGCUCGACGACCAGCCUCGAGGUUCGGUGCUCUUCGUCGCUUUCGGGAGCGGCGGCACCCUCUCGACGGAGCAGACGAGGGAGCUCGCCCGGGGGCUGGAGACGAGCGGACACCGGUUCCUGUGGGCAGCGCGUUGCCUCAGCGGCGUUUACUUGGGCCUAGCGAGCGGCGUCGACCCGCUGUGCUACCUGCCAGAGGGGUUCCUGGAGAGGACCAAGGACGCGGGGCUAGUAGUGCCGCAGUGGGCGCCGCAGGCGGAGGUGCUGCGGCACGGGUCCACGGGCGGGUUCCUGACGCACUGCGGUUGGAACUCCGUGCUGGAGAGCUUGGCGUGCGGCGUGCCGAUGAUCGCGUGGCCGCUGUACGCGGAACAGAGGAUGAACGCGGUGAUGCUGGCGGAGGGGGUGGGCGCGGCGCUGCGGCCGGAGGCGGGGCCCGACGGCGUGGUGGCAGGAGGGUAGGUGUCGGUGGUGAAGCAGCUGAUGGAUCGGGAGGCAGGAAAGAGGGCGAGGAGCAAGGUACGGGCGCCGCAGGAGGCGGGCACCAAGACGCCAGCCAAGGAUGGGUCUUCCUUGGAAGGUUGCGGUUGCUUCGCGAUGCCGUUGAUCCAAAGUCACAUCUCGGGACAAGUCGCCUUCGAAUCGUAGUCAGCCGUAAAGGGACGAUGACGUUGGUUCAAACAGUGUGCAAUAAUUGAAGCGACUCGUUCACUCAAUGAUUGCAUCACGCGCGAAUCACAUGCCUGCGAUAAUUGCCCCCUUCUCUGCGAUGAGUGGACGGUUUUACCCGAAACCACGAAAAGUUUGCUGGAUUUCGGGGGUGACGUGGUCAGUGGGGGGGGGUGUCCAGCAGACGUUAUGUUAGAAGAUAAAAAAUACGCGGGAAACAUCCAUCCACGGAUCCACGUCUCUGUUUCUCCUCAUGAUCCCCUCCUCACCGUCCGAUCCUCUUCUCUAAGCUAUUCCAGCCGUUGGAUCGCUCGUAAGCACGAGCAGCAAGAGACGACGAGCCAAUGAAGGUGACCAAAUCUAUUGGAAAACCUUACAUUCUCUAAAAGGGUUUUCGAGUCCAUCCCAUUUCUUAGAAUUUCAUAGCAACCAUUAGGUAGAAGGCAACAUCAGUACACGGUAGCUGUUGUUGUACUGAUGUUCAACUUUUGCCUCGUGUACUUGUGAGGUCAAAGGAGAAUCUCAGUAUCGUAGCCACGCUUCAAUCAAUACGAUGGAACUGUUUGUAUACACGAAUGAAUCCACGGCUGCAUUUGCAAUCGAUACAACAUUUUGUUUAUUUAUAUCUUACCACUAACUAUUACUCGCAGGCAAAAAGAAGAAGAAGAAGAAGAAACUAUUACUUAACCGGCAUUAUCGGCAAUCAAAGCCUUUAUCUAAAAUUUUAAGUCAGAAUGCUUGUGAUGUAUAUGUGAUGGCCACAUCGACAAACAAUCCAUAUCCAUUCCGAGUCGUGAAUCUAAAAUUGUGUUAUACCAUUCGGAGCAGAUUGAAACAGGAACAGAACGCUCUUCUUUGGGGAUUUCCUAUAACUUGGAAAAUAAAUAAAUAAAUAAAUGAAGAGGAAUUAUCAGCCAAUAGACCGCUGACAGGGGAGAUCGAGGAACACGCGAAGAGCAGGUUAUGUUGUACACACCACCAAGCCAACGAUACAUAUAUAUAUAUAUGGAUGGGAAGACUACUUCAAGACGUCAAGCCUGAAUAGCUGUUGGGAGGAGGAGAAGGAGACUGAUCUACGUCAAACUUGUCGUGGUGGAAUCUGACCACGAUGCAUGUAAUGUUGUCUGCGCUGCCGCGCGAGAAGGCGGUCUCCGUCAACUUCCGAGCAGCAGCCUCGGGUUCCUCUUCCACUCUCACAAGUGAGACAGCAUCCUGAUCGACAUGGGAAACAAUGAAAACCAAUGCACAGUUUCAAUGUGCUGCGACUUGGUGAGCCAAACAAAAUUCCAUCAAAUUUAAGAGGGACUUAAUGAACACAUGAACUCGAGCAUAAUUUUCUUACUUGUAAUCAUAACUGAGCUGAUCUAAUAAUGUUAAGUAAAACGAGAUUCAUCGUAUUGAUUAAGUAAUUGGAUUUAAGAGGAGGGAGGAGAAUCUAACCUCAUUUGCUACCACAUCCCACAGCCCGUCACUAGCCAACACCAGAAUUUCCAAUUCUUCAUCCACCACUUGCUCCUGACAAAUAUAAUCCAACACAAAACAACUUGCUAACCGAGUUUGCCAUAAUAUGCCACUGCAUGCGUCUAGUUUUCUCUAUGAAGCACCAGAAAAUUCUGGAACAUACAAUACAACAAAAGCAUGCGAGCUUAUUGUAGAACAUUUCAUCAAUAGUGCUCCUAUGGCAAAUCAAAAAUCAUGCACCAUUAUCAAGAAACAAUAGCAGAACGAACAAUAACAGUAUGGCCCAUGAGUCUUUCGAAGAUCAAAAUGAGUUCAUAGGGUCAUCAUGAAAAAGAGUUUGAGCUGAGUUUCUAUGUGCGCCAAAAUACCUGAAUCUCAGGCUCUGCCACAACAAAUUGUUUCAAAAGGCGGUUACCAAAUGCUCGUGACAUCGCCAAUAUGCCUCCAACUCUCCAAGUGCCUAUAAAGUAAAUAUGCCCACAAUUAAAAGAAGAAACAGCUCAUGUUGCACAAUCCAAAUGCCACCUGUUUCCCUCUAUAACAUAAAAUGCAAUUAGUUUAGAGGAAAGACAUAACCAUAUGAUUACUUGCCACAAACAAAUUUUAACAAGAAAAGCAAUAAUUUAUCCAAAUGGCCAUCCAUAUGCUAUACGAUUUACUUCUCUAAUCUAAUGGUCAAUGUAUUCUUUUGUUGGUUAUCAUAUCAUUUCCAAAUAUGGAGCAAAUUUCUCGUCCAUCAGCUAGGAUCCUAAUCAAAGCAGAAGCAUGCAGGAGAAAUAUUGCAUCACAAAAGAAGGUCAACCUCUGUGCUAAUAUCUAAUUCGUAGGUUGAGAAAUUAUGCUUGAUGCAUAAGCUUUAAAGGGAUAAACUGCUAUAGCAUUUGUCUUAAUGAGAAAGACAAGCAUUUUCAGAAUUUUGAGACUUACCAGUCCACGUGACAACACCUCCAGCAUCCUCAAUCCUCUUGCGCUCAUCACUUCUGUUUGGCUUGUGAUCAUUGGAGAGAGGAAUUGCUACAACCAAGAAUAUUGGAGUAUGAUACUUAAUGAGUAACUCAUUAAUUUUAACUGCUUUGGAAGUGUAGCCACAUGACAUGAUAAAAAUCAGGAGACAGAGAAAAAGGAAACUAAAACUAUGAAAGAACAAAGUGGUCAUAGAAACAUUAUGGCUAUCGAUCUCAUUGGUGUCAGUCUACAAGCAUGUAAAUUUGAUAUGUUGCAGAACCUAGAGCCACUAGUUGCAUACAAGAUAUCUACCUAAUUAUACAAUCUAUGAACUUGUAACCUUUACUUUCUGUUUGCACUUACUAAUUCAGGAUCAUCAACUGUGGGUCAACAUUGUCGACUUGUGAUGAGACAUAUCAUUAAGAUAUAGAUAACCACACAUCUCUUAGUCUCUCAUUUACGUAGGAUUGACUUUUUUAUAAAUAAUUCAUAAACAUUGUAUUUUAGCUCAACAAUCACAGGACACUGACAUGUAACACCUACACAGUGCAAAAUGUAUGCAGUAAUAUAACUAAUAUGAGAAACGUAGGAUAUGCUAUGUUCUAUUUUAUGUUUGAGAUAUACAAGCAUGGACAUUGCACGCACAGCAGUUAAUCAUUAUUUAUCUUCUGUUUUAUGUUUGAGAUAAAUUUUUGUAUAAUUUAGGCAAUGUGUUACUCUACUAUAUGUAUCUUAUAGGAAGCAUGACGAUUUUUACUAGAAACAAAAGCAUGACAAUCCUCAUCACCGACCCAAAUAAGUGUAUGCAUACAUCAUUAAAAAUAAGACUAAAUAGAAAUCCAAAAUACAUAUGUGGCCAAUAUUCAACAUGCCUGGAGACUGUACAUGGAUGAUUAAGUGUUCAAUCAUGCUUCACCAGGUUCCAACAUUUAGGUCGAGGCACAAGUAGUUCACAUAAUGACAUGGCAGAGAGUCAAAACACCAAACCAAAUCUAGUAAUUUUAAGAUUGCAGAAGGCCACUUAUCAGUGUCUCUAUAUGAGCCUAGCGGUAGUAAACCAGCAUCCUACAUGCUGGCUGGAGGAGGAUGGAACUCAGAGCUGCACUUUCAUUUAAAAAAAGAAAGUGGAAGAGUUCAAGAGAAAAAAAUCACCUUUGCCUGUUUUUGAUAUUACAGCACGUGAAUCUCCAACAUUAGCUACAUAUAAGUGCUUGCCAAUCAAAACAGCUGUAGAAGCUGUAGAACCAUCAUCUCUGGAAGUAUUGCUUUCAGCAGCUAAAAAGUCUGAAUCAGUUUUUUUAUAUGUUUCACCUGACAAUUGACAUGAAAAUCCCAAAUUGAAAAGGUUUACUGGAGACAAAAAAAAAAAAGAACAACAUAUAAAAGCACCAAGUAAUUUCACAAGUCUGUUAGUACUUAAUGCAAGUUUUGUGUCCGACAUGAAUUGUGGGUGCCUCGUGAGGUUCUCAAAUAAGUGUUCCUUCAAAUAUUCAGCAGCAUGUGAACCACCAUGUCCUGCAACACCAAUUUGUCUCUGAGAUAGAGACAUUUCAUACUCAAGACAUUUAGAAAUGGAGAUUACUGGAAAGAAUACCAGACCAUCAAAUAUUCCAAAAAGAUGAACUGUAUGCCCAUCAAUUUUAGUUGAUUUUAGAUCACAGUAGUCCUCCAUGCUGACUCUUUGUCCCCUGAAGCUAGAGUAUCCACAAGUUAAACUUCCAUCCUCACUGCAAACAAGUCCAGUGACCCGUAAGACCAAGCAUUGAGAUAAAUUAAUAAACAAAUUAUGUUCAUAUGCUCUACUGAGUUUUACAGAACAGCUAGACCAUGGAAACACUAGCAGGGAUAAGGCUGCAUACAUUGAUCCCUCCCUAGAUCUCAGCAAGAGCCUCAUGCACUGCAACAUCUUUUUCUUCUACCCUUUUUUUUUUUGUCCCCGGUUCAGCCAGAAUGCACAGUUCUAAGUCCGAGAGACUCAUCGUUCGUUGGUACAACUUUAUCACCAGCCAUGACCAAAGAAUAAAAUAGUAACAACAAAGAAGUCAUAGUUCUCAACUAUUUGGUAUUGGCCAUAUGCCAAUUUUUUCGUGGUUGAGCUCUACUUCAAUAGGAAAAAGGGAAACGUCUCAUAGACAGAUAAUAAAAGGAACAAGGCCAGAGCUACACUAAAACUAGUGCACGAGAAACCUGCUGAUUCUACUGCUCAUCUUCCAUUCUUUUUUAUAGGGAAAAAGGUGACAAAGCCCCCCACCAGCAUGCAUCUCAUCAAAACAAUCUCGGUUUGAUAAAAAGGACAACGAGUCAUCCUCCAUGUUACCAAAACACAAACUUGUACCGAACAUGAUAAAAGGACAACGAAUCAAACUAAAAAGGCCUAUAAUUAAAGCAUGCGUCGACGAGUUUUAAUUUCUCGUACCACGCAUUAGUGCAGACCAAGUACUACCGAGUACUCACAGUAAAGGAUAUGUUUCAGGCGACAUGCAUUUGGCAGUUCUACUCACUCCUACCAUGUUGCAAGUAUGAGAUGUUCCCAAAAGAAAUUGACACGCGAAUCUAUUGUAGAAGAGGCUGAGCAUUUGAGCAUUUACUAGCAAUUAAAUUAAAUUAAAUUAAAUGCCUGAAGGAUAAGAGGUUUUAGAGUUGGAUUCGAGGCGUUGAUUGCCAACUUACCUUUUCCAUCCUCCACAGGCAUAGUCACCAUUGCCUGCCCGAUCCUUCUCGGGUGAUGCAUUAGCGGCAGCUCCAGGCUCCGCAGCCGGACCAGAAUCCACCAUCAUCUUUACAACCGCUCCAGGUGGCCGGUGCUUCUUAGACACCUCAAGUCAACCUUCUUACUUCCAGCACAACCCCAGCCUUCGAUCUGCCUCCUUCCCUUGAAAAAGGAAUCCGCUGCCUUCUUUGCGCGAUCGACAAAGUCGGUUAUGCCGCCAUCACCUACCAUCUAUCUAACUUGCUUGCCGAGGAGGGCCUGCAAAACAGAGAGGGAAAUGCAAUGUCGCAAUCCGACACGAUGAACAGAUCUUUCUGCAUUUAAGAAGCUAUCUGAAACAGAAGAAAACGAGAAAUGCUCUCUUUUCCCCCAACAUAAUUAUACCCGAACUCUGAUCAUCAUCGAGAUAACCAAAUCAUCCACUCGGAUUGGAUGAUGAUUCAAGGAGAGAAACAUACGCGUCGAACGUUCUGAUCGGAGGCCGACAGGGAGAUCAGCAGGCGCACAAGGGGGCCGCGGUCGCGGAGAUCGUGGCGCAGCAGGAGACUAUCAGGAUAAGCGAUCGGGAAUCCGGCAUGGGCGGCGGCGAUCCGAGAAAACCCUGUAAAUAGAUGAGGGUGGGGGAAUCGAUCGAUGGACGUGGCGGUGCUCGCUCGAAAUGAUUGGAGAGAGCUGAGAGAGAGAGGGGAUGGUGGUGGUCUGGGCCGAGGAAUGGCGAGAACGUGGCACGAUUGUAGCAGUAGCGGUAUGUCGGCUACCGUCCCAGUGGAGGCCGAAACUAAGAUUUAUAUAAGUGGAAUUGGUUGUCGUAAUGAUUACAGAGGACACGCAAAAUUAAACGUAAUUAUUGAGAGGAGACGAUAAGGUCUCCUUCUUUCUGGUUAUUAUUUUUGAAAUUACAUACAUACCCCUUUCGAAUUAUAUGUAUAUAUAUAUAUAUAUAUAUGUAUAUAUAUAUGUAUAUGUAUAUAUGUAUAUAUGUACAUAUAUAUACAUAUAUACAUAUAUACAUAUAUUGACUAUCAAUUGACCUUAUGAAGAGAGAUGUUUAGAUGUUAUUUGACAUUAGUAUUGAUAAAUUGCUCCUAAGCUUUCGGUGACUAUGUAAAGACUCAUUUGAGCCCAUGAAAGCCUUCAGCCCAUUAAGAGGAAAUAGUGUGCAUUAGUUACCGUCAUCUAAUGGAUGCGAAACAAAUAAAGUAUCGAGCAGCAUAUGUGCGACAUAAACCUUCCCAUUUAUUUUCUUAAUUCGUGUCUAACUUGGAAGUUUGAUGGCGCUUAUCUCGCUUUUCUUCGCAUUAGAUUCUUGGUCUUCGUAUGCUUUGAUCACAACGCUUUUCUUAGAUAGCUGACAUACGUACGGUCAAUGGAUAGGUUGGGGGACCUGUAUACAAAUUAAGCUCUUUCCUAUCAAUUUAAAAUUUAUUAUUUAUGAACUUGGUGAGAUGUCGAGUGCUCCCAUGCCGUCGAACAAAGCUGUUUGGGAAGGAGGAGACGCGAUGAGUACCGACUCCAUGCACUCAUCAAGUACAUACAGAGUGUUGGGACUCAUCAUCAAGUACUUACGUAGCAUCGUUCAAUCGAUCAAUCUUUCGCACCACCUCCUCCUCCUCCAUUACAUCCUCACGAUCAUCGUCGUCGACUGACCUUUGCUGAGGAGCGAGGAAGCAAGUGAGGGAACUGAGACGAGCGAGCGAACUCGUCGAGGAAGCUGUGCCCUGUGAUGUGAUGCAAUAUGCAUGUCCAUCGAACCAUAUUAUCUGAAUGCAUAUUAUAGCAGCAAGUCGUAUCUAAAAGAUCAGAACAUGGAGCUGAAAUCGAGCCGCAUUUGAAGCGCAAGAUCGGCAUGUGUUUCUUGAUUCGUACCAAUCUGGGAAAACUCCAAUCGGAUGCGUCCAAGAUAUAGAUAUAUAUAUAUAGAUCGGAAUCGAUUUGCACUGCACUCCAAAGACUAAUAAGAGCUAUCUCCAUCAAAGACCCCACAAGAGCGUGCAUGGACAUCCUUGGAAGUGACACGAUGGGAUCUUUCUCUCUUGUCCCAGAAGAAUUAAGCAAGCCCCCACAAAGCAGCAACAGCAUCAUCUCCCAGCUUUUUCUUUUACGUGUUUUCCGGGGCAGUGAUCGGGCCACGCGUCGGCGAAGCUUCACCUCUGCCUUUACGCCUCUUUUCUUCUCUCUCUCUCUCUCUCUCUCUCUCUCUCUCUCUCUCUCUUUUCGUCCUCCAUUGCCACUUGGGUCAAUGACUUGUUCCUCAAGCAUGAUGGGUAGACGAAAUCACAGUUCUGCAAUCAGUGAUGCAUGCUUUCUAGCUUUGAAUACAGCCCACCCAAGAAUGAUCGAUUUGGUGAAGGGCUGAGGUGGUGGCGAAUCCUGAUGGGGUGACACCGAUGGCGUCAGGGUCUCGCCAACUAUUAGAUUCCACGGUGAAUGAGAUUGGAGGAUGAAAAGGCUUUAUGAUAUGAGGAGCACCGGUUUACGUUUGGUGGAAACCAUGGCGUGUGUGCUGACGGGUGUUCCUGCGGAGCAUGUACAGUGCAGCCGUGUAGGUGACGCAAACGCAUGAGGACCUCUACAUCAACUUCAUCCAACGCCUCCGCCGUCUGAUUGACCAACGACUCACAACCGAGUCUUGUAUCGUUCCUCGACUUGUUUCACACAUCAUCUACUUUCUUCCAUCAACACCACCAUCUCCGACUGCACCAUGUCCGACGUACGUGCUCCUGUCGUAUAUAUGGACACGAUGUGCUAUUUACAUCGAAUCACACACCAUCACAGUCUUUGCUGAAGCUGCAUGCACGGUAUGUAUCGGUCUUGGUCGAUGAACAUAGCAAACCAUGUUUCUAUGAUUAAUGCGUGAAAUCAUAUAUAUCAAAAAUGAUAUUGUACAAAAUUUCCCUGUCGAAGAAAGAAAAACGAGAUCGAACGUGGCAUCAUGAUUUGACCGAGAGCUUGGUUUGACUAGAUGGGGUUGGUACGGGGAAACGCAUCGCAUCCGGAGGAAUACUUAUCCGCCGCGCCCGCAUGACGCCACGCGUCCCUCGCUGUUCCCCCAAAUAUCCCCGCGGAGUCAACACAUGCAUGACCGCAUCGCUUCCCCAUCCGCCCUACACGUCACCGCCGCGACAUUUAUUCCACGAGAAAACAACUACUAUUCUCACGCCCCCUAUUCUCUCGCGCCGCCCAUGCGUUCCCCGAUCGAAGCACGGCCGCCACGCGGACCCCUGCGGAGCGUCCUUCGACGAAGAGGGCGUGACGAUAACAGCCUGCCUCGGCCGCAUUCAAAAUCCGGAUCCGAGCACCAACUGCGCCACGUGCGAGAUCAAACCACAUCUCCGCCCUCCACGUCUCCGUCUCGGGUGGUCCACGUCUCGGUGGUCCUGGCGUACGGACUCUCGAAGGUGGCGCGCAUCGGCUCCCAGCGACGGAUCGGACGGCAGUGCUUCCUCCACCUCUCCCCGUUCGACCUCUCUCCAUUGUCGUCUAACAAAUACUUUAAAAGGGAGGCUUCCUGGCUCCCUCCCCUCUCUCUCCUUUUCCUCGCCUACUUCUCUUGAAGCUGUUCGAAUCAGCUAUUCCGAGGCAGACUAUGGCGGGUGACGACGCCCCCCACUCGAGGGACGACGGAGAAGGGGCUUUCUGCGAAGCAGAUGGAACCCAGAGGCUUCUCGUUAAGAAGCCAGCGGUCACUAGCCGGCGGCGUCUUGAGAUCCGCCGAGCCAGGGCCGGCGGCCUCGCCGUUAAGCGCACCAUGGACCCCGUCGAGGGCUCGAAUUCCUCUUCGCCGUCCGAUCGGGACACCGAGGACGGUAUCGUAGGGAUCCUCGCCGCCGGCGGGGAGAUCCGGGGGCGAGAAGGCCAAGGGGCCCGGCUUCCCUGCCUGUCCCACGGGGCCGUGUCGCUGAUCGGGCGGCGGAGGGUGAUGGAGGACACGGUGGCGGUCGCGCCCGGGUUCGCCGGAGGAGGAGGGGUGCCGGUGUACGACUUCUUCGGGGUGUACGACGGGCACGGCGGGGCAAGGGUGGCGCAGGCGUGCCGGGAGCGGCUGCACGUGGUGCUGGCGGAGGAGGUGGCGGCCGGGGGGUGGCCGCGGGCGGAGGGGCGGUGGAGGGAGGUGAUGACGGCGAGCUUCUCGAGGGUGGAUGGGGAGGUGGAGGCGGCGGCGCAGGGCGAGGCAGAGAGGACGGUGGGGUCCACGGCGGUGGUGGCCGUGGUGGGUACCAAGCGGAUCGUGGUGGCUAACUGCGGCGACUCGCGGGCGUUGCUCUCCCGCGGCGGCGCGGCCGUUCCCCUCUCCUUGGACCACAAGGUAACAUUAGGAUGCGCGACUUGCUCUUGUUUGAUUAGCUGCUCCUUAAUCUCCUCGUCCGAUAUAUUAUAAAUUACCAUUACUCGGCUCGGAAGAUGGCCAUGUGUUUGUCGUCGUGGGGACAGCACAGUGGGCGAACAAGAAAAGCAAAGCAAAGCCAAGCCAAGCCAAGCCAAGCCAAAAAAAAAAGGGGGCUUCUUUACAUCCAUGUGGAAUUAGUGCUUCCGGGGUUCUGCUUCUUAACAACACUACAACUUGGACCUGUUGGUCGUGGUGUGUUAUUGGAUACAGAAUUACAUCAUUCUAGAUUUAGAUCCAUCUGUUCAAUUAUCGAUUAAUUGUUGUGGAUGUCCAAUAGGGAAGAUCUAAUUUGUUCAAGCUUAAGGAAAUUUUGAAGAAUUACCAAUACAAUGCACCAAAAGACUUGGAUUUUGUCACCAGCCCACUGGUUUAACUCUGAACUCAUUUGGAGCCCUUUCUUGCCUGCACCUUUGUUUCUUGGCUUGUGCAAUAUUCUGAUUGUUUCUAUGUUUAGGGAUUGUUUCUUUAAUUGUUUGAAAAGGGCAUACAUAUAGGUUGACCUGUGCUACCUACCUGCUCAUUUCCAGAAAGCUGGUUGCCACAGUAGAGUAGAUAUCAGGAUGGAAAGUCCAAAAAAAAAAAAAAACCAUUCUAGAAUUUACAUGAGCAGCUAGAUCAAUGUUUAAAAGCUUACAAGCAAACAUGGAAUCAUGCGUCAGUCGUUUGGGGAAAAUCUCAAUGCAAAGAGAACUUCGAAAAAGUCGCAAUGGGUGUGUAGUCAGAUGACUCAUGCUGAUAUAUGAAUAGAUUAAAUAUAAAUGUACAGAUUAAUAAUAGGCUGCUUUCUCCUGUUUGAGUUUGAUAAAGCUGUGGACAGUCUCUCUUUUAUAUUAGAAUUGGGUGGGUGCUUCUACAUGUUUCUAAUGUUCCACACAUCCAAUUUUACUUUUCUGAUGGCUUUGGUUGGAUAAGCAUGGGAGAAUAUACCCCUCAUGCUAGAUUGAUAUUUACUUUUCCUCUUUUCUAUCUUGGUGGUCAUCGACUAUAAGUUAAAAAAAUCAACUUGGUAUCGGAACUAUCAGAAACUAAACUAAUAUAUGUUUAAAGUGACUGAACUUUCCGAUAAAAAGUCGAACACCAGAACCCUAGCAAGCUACAAAAGCAAUAAAACAAUUGUCUUUACAGUGUAUUCAAUCACCAUCACAUAUGCAUGCUUCUUGCAGUUCAUAGAAGAAGAAACUUCAGUAUGUGAAAGUUUAUGAAAACAUGCAUCGAUAGACAGACGGUAGAGCUCCGAGUUUACUAAAUGGUGAAACCUCUCAUGUGCAGUUUCCCUUUUUGUCUCCUCCUAACUUUUCUUCUACUGCUUCCUUAUACCUUACUGUUCUUCUACUGCUUCCAAUAUUUGACAGGUUUAAGUGCAGAACUUAGUGCAACUGGUCCUAAGAUAAUAUGGAUAUUUUUGCUUUGUGCUCAUUUUAAUUUGACAUCCAUGAAAACUAUUGGUCUCUGGCUCCAAACUUGUUUCGUAAUGGAAAAUGGCUAGG